rnacentral:rRNA from 1 species
UACGGAGGGUGCGAGCGUUGCUCGGAAUCACUGGGCGUAAAGCGUACGCAGGCGGAUCGUUAAGUCGGGUGUGAAAGCCCGGGGCUCAACCCCGGAACUGCAUUCGAAACUGGCGGUCUUGAGUACGGGAGAGGGAGGUGGAAUUCCUGGUGUAGAGGUGAAAUUCGUAGAUAUCAGGAGGAACACCGGUGGCGAAAGCGGCCUCCUGGCCCGAUACUGACGCUCAUGUACGAGAGCGUGGGGAGCAAACAGG